rnacentral:tRNA from 1 species
GCCCGGGUGGCGGAACUGGUAGACGCAGCAGACUUAAAAUCUGCCGACCCAAAAGGUCGUGCCGGUUCGAUUCCGGCCCUGGGCACCA